GACGAACGCUGGCGGCGUGCUUAACACAUGCAAGUCGAACGGCAACGCCCUGCUUUCGUGCGGUUCCCGAGUGGCGAACGCGUGAGUAACACGUGAGUAACCUGCUCUACUCUUUGGGAUAACUUCACGUAACUGGGCCUACUCCAGGACAGCAUCCCCUCCUGCAUUGUGGGGGUUGGAUCGUUUCGGCUGUCGGGGUUGGACUCGCGGCUUACCAGCUUGUUGGUGGGGUAGUGGCUUACCCAGCCUUUGACGGAUAGGCGGCCUGAGAGGGUGACCGGCGACAAGGGGACUGAGAUAGGGCCCAGACUCGUACGGGAGGCAGCAGGGGGGAAUAUGACACAAUGGGGGGGAGCGUGAGGCAGCAACGCCGCGGGCGGGAUGACGGCCUGCUGGGUGAGAACCGCUUUCGCCUGUGACGAAGCGGGAGUGACGGUAAUGGGUGAAGAAGCACCGGCUAACUACGUG
rnacentral:rRNA from 1 species